UUUAAACCCGGACUGCUCAGGGAAACUCACUGAGAACUGGAUCGCGGUCUUCAAGGACAAAAUACUUUGCUUCGCCAGCUGAGAAGCAGGCCCAAUAUAUUUUCUUCGAAGUGCAGAUACACAAGGUGACAUCGCUUUAAGACUUCUGCCAGUGGUCCUCCCAACACCAGUCUACAAGAUUGGCAGGAAGACUUUCUGACCCAGCUUCAAUGAGACCAGAAAGUCCUUCAUUGACUUGCAGCUUUGCAUGCAUUCAACAAGCUUUGGACGAAGGACUUCCACAGGGCCGCCAUCUCCAAAGUUCACUCAAAAAGGCAAUAGCUCUGAACUGGGUUUGAUUGCAUUUUUGUUUUAAUUAUGAAAAUGUAAUUAUUUUAAACUUCCAUUGGUUGGAAUCUAUUGCUCAGUUAUCACUUGGCUCAUGUAAAUAAUU